rnacentral:rRNA from 1 species
GAGGCGAAAGCGUGGGGAGGCGAACAGGAUUGAGAUACCCUGGUAGUCCACGCCGUAAACCGAUGAGUGCUAAGUUGUUAGGGGGUUUCCGCCCCUUAGUGCUGCAGGCUAACGCAUUAAGCACUCCGCCUGGGGAGUACGUCGCAAGACUGAAACUCAAAGGAAUUGACGGGGGCCCGCACAAGCGGUGGAGCAUGUGGUUUAAUUUGAAGCAACGCGAAGAACCUUACCAGGUCUUGACAUCCUCUGACAAUCCCUAGAGAUAGGGCUUUCCCUUCGGGGACAGAGUGACAGGUGGUGCAUGGUUGUCGUCAGCUCGUGUCGUGAGAUGUUGGGUUAAGUCCCGCAACGAGCGCAACCCUUGAUCUUAGUUGCCAGCAUUCAGUUGGGCACUCUAAGGUGACUGCCGGUGACAAACCGGAGGAAGGUGGGGAUGACGUCAAAUCAUCAUGCCCCUUAUGACCUGGGCUACACACGUGCUACAAUGGACAGAACAAAGGGCUGCAAGACCGCAAGGUUUAGCCAAUCCCAUAAAUCUGUUCUCAGUUCGGAUCGCAGUCUGCAACUCGACUGCGUGAAGCUGGAAUCGCUAGUAAUCGCGGAUCAGCAUGCCGCGGUGAAUACGUUCCCGGGCCUUGUACACACCGCCCGUCACACCACGAGAGUUUGCAACACCCGAAGUCGGUGAGGUAACCUUUAUGGAGCCAGCCGCCGAAGGUGGGCAGACGAGAGGG